AUACGUAGGAUCCGAGCGUUAUCCGGAUUUAUUGGGCUUAAAGGGAGCGUAGGUGGCUUGUUAAGUCAGUUGUGAAAGUUUGCGGCUCAACCGUAAAAUUGCAGUUGAAACUGGCAGGCUUGAGUACAGUAGAGGUGGUCGGAAUUCGUGGUGUAGCGGUGAAAUGCAUAGAUAUGACGAAGAACACCGAUUGCGUAGGCAGCUGACCAGACCGCAAAUGACGCUCAUGCACGAAAGUGCGGGGAUCGAACAGGAUUAGAUACCCUGGUAGUCCGCACAGUAAACGAUGAAUACUUGUUUUCGGCGAUAUAAUGUCGGAGGCAAAGCGAAAGCGAUAAGUAUUCCACCUGGGGAGUACGCCGGCAACGGUGAAACUCAAAGGAAUUGGCGGGG
rnacentral:rRNA from 1 species